rnacentral:rRNA from 1 species
CGCAUCUGUGCAUGCAGCAUAUCAAUAAGCGGAGGAAAAGAAACUAACAAGGAUUCCCCUAGUAACGGCGAGUGAAGCGGGAAGAGCUCAAAUUUGAAAUCUUAAAGGGUUUCCCUUUACGAAUUGUAGUUUAAAGAAGUGUUUUCUGUUGAGGUUUAGGUAAAAGUUCUUUGGAAUAGGACAUCAUAGAGGGUGAGAAUCCCGUAUUUGACCUUUACUUUCAACUUUGUGAUACACUUUCAAAGAGUCGGAUUGUUUGGGAAUGCAGUCCAAAAUGGGUGGUAAAUUUCAUCUAAAGCUAAAUAUUGGCGAGAGACCGAUAGCGAACAAGUACCGUGAGGGAAAGAUGAAAAGAACUUUGAAAAGAGAGUUAAACAGUACGUGACAUUGUCAAAAGGGAAGCGUUUGACACCAGUGUUGUUUUUCUGAAAAUCAAUUAAAGAACUGUUUAUGCUAAGUUGUUUAGACUUUAUCAGCUAACUGUUUAGUUUUGAGCUUUUCUUUAAUGCACUUUUCAGUUAACAAGUCAACAUCAAUUUCUUUUGCUGUAAAAAAGCUUGAGGAAGGUGGCUUGAGAUUCGUCUUAAGUGUUUAUAGCCUCUUGCCUAUGCAGUCGGAGAGAUUGAGGUCUGCAGCGUAGAUCCUUCGGGGCUAAAUGCAUUUGUGCUAAGUUAUAGCAUUUUAUAGACAACUUGUUGACUAUGAUUUGUCUUGUAGCUUACUCGCUUAUGUUAUUUUACCUACGCUUAGGAUGUUGAACGCGCACAGAGUCUC